UGUAACGGUGGAAUGUGUAGAUAUCGGGAAGAACCCCCAAUGGCGAAGGCCAGGUCUCUGGGCCCGUUACUGACGCUGAGGAGCGAAAGCGUGGGAGCGAACAGGAUUAGAUACCCUGGUAGUCCACGCCGUAAACGGUGGAUGCUGGAUGUGGGGCCCGUUCCACGGGUUCCGUGUCGGAGCUAACGCGUUAAGCAUCCCGCCUGGGGAGUACGGCCGCAAGGCUAAAACUCAAAGAAAUUGACGGGGGCCCGCACAAGCGGCGGAGCAUGCGGAUUAAUUCGAUGCAACGCGAAGAACCUUACCUGGGCUUGACAUGUUCCCGACAGCGGCAGAGAUAUCGUUUCCCUUCGGGGCGGGUUCACAGGUGGUGCAUGGUCGUCGUCAGCUCGUGUCGUGAGAUGUUGGGUUAAGUCCCGCAACGAGCGCAACCCUCGCCCUGUGUUGCCAGCACGUCAUGGUGGGAACUCACGGGGGACCGCCGGGGUCAACUCGGAGGAAGGUGGGGAUGACGUCAGAUCAUCAUGCCCCUUACGUCCAGGGCUUCACGCAUGCUACAAUGGCCGGUACAACGGGAUGCGACACGGCGACGUGGAGCGGAUCCCUGAAAACCGGUCUCAGUUCGGAUUGGAGUCUGCAACCCGACUCCAUGAAGGCGGAGUCGCUAGUAAUCGCGGAUCAGCAACGCCCGGUGAAUGCGUUCCCGGACCUUGUACAC
rnacentral:rRNA from 1 species